rnacentral:misc_RNA from 1 species
ACAAACUUGGUCAUUUAGAGGAAGUAAAAGUCGUAACAAGGUCUCCGUAGGUGAACCUGCGGAGGGAUCAUUACCGAGUGAGGGCCUCCGCGCCCAACCUCCCACCCUUUGACAAACAUCCGGUUUGCCUCGGGGGUGACCCGGACGUCCCGACGGCCGGGUGCCCCCGGAGGGCCACCCACUCUGCGUUUUGGCGUCGGAGUCGAACGGAAAAUUGAAACGAAAACUUUCAGCAACGGAUCUCUUGGCUCUCGCAUCGAUGAAGAACGCAGC